rnacentral:rRNA from 1 species
UACGUGGGGGGCAAGCGUUGUCCGGAAUCAUUGGGCGUAAAGCGCGUGUAGGCGGUUCGGUAAGUCUGCUGUGAAAGUCCAGGGCUCAACCCUGGGAUGCCGGUGGAUACUGUCGGACUAGAGUACGGAAGAGGCGAGUGGAAUUCCCGGUGUAGCGGUGAAAUGCGCAGAUAUCGGGAGGAACACCAAUUGCGAAGGCAGCUCGCUGGGACGUUACUGACGCUGAGACGCGAAAGCGUGGGGAGCAAACAGG